GGGAGCGAGCGUGCGUCCUGCGGGAGCGCGCGAGGAAAAGAUCAAACUUUUCAAUAACAGCGGGCUACCUGGGACCCAAAGGGCCCCGUUUACUUUAGCUUUGCUCAUCAAACAGUAGAGACAGGUUGGAGUAGUUGGACCCCUUUAAACGUUGGUGUUCAGGGAUGAGCGUGAACUGCGUUGAAAAUUGCAAAAAUCAUCCACGUCCAGGGAGCCUCUGCAGCCUCUGCCCCACCUGCAGCUGCUCAGAAAUGCAAACUCACCCAGUGUAUGACGUGCUCUGGAUCUCAGUCGGCCUUCGCCCCGCAGACCUGGGUGGUUGAUCGAACGCUAAAGCUCCAGACCUGGAGAUGCCUCAGAGGAAGCACCUGGUUUUGAUGAUAAGGAAAAGAACUCUGUAUUUGGAUAAUACAAUUUUCAGCAACCUUCAACUCAAUUUCCUCUCCCCGGAGACAGUGUAUCUUAUAGGAUAGAAUGAAAUCCCUUAUUCAUAGGGAAAAAGUUCCAAUUUAAUCUGAAUAUUCAGCAUGCCGCCGUGGCCGGGGUGAUGGAUGGCGUAUGGAAAUAUCACGGUUCAAGCAAUCAGAUGUCGGAAUGCACUCUGCUACUGGAAGAAAUAAUGACGCCUAUCCAAUUUUCUAUAAGGCGCAGAAAUGCACGUUGCAUCCUGAGGACCUCGGCUUUCUCCUAUUACCUUACUAAUCACAUCUCCGUUUAAACACAGAGCAAAAAAGGAAGUGUGGUCACAAAUUAAGAAUUAAUGGAAGUGAGACUCCGCAAUGGAUUCGGGGCCGAGGGCCAAAGGCGGCCGCCACGUGCCGCUAUUUACAUGAAGUCACAGAGAUGACGGCGAUGAGCGGGGUCCCCUUGUCAGAAGCUGCUGGGCCAGAUGAACCUGACAAGUAUCUCCUAAGAAGGAUUUAGAAAAGGGGAAGAUGAAAUCUUUGGAGGUAAUGGAGAAUUAGAAGCAUAUAUCAUUACCUAUAAAUCCUGCGGCCCUGCACACGCUGUUGACAGCCCGGAAGAUGAGACUGGCUGAAAGGAAAAAGAUUCUGAGCCUGGAACAAGCGGACCCAGAUUCUAGGUGGCCAGGCUGUGUGGUUGCUUUUAUCAUUCUAGGAGACUUUCGGGAGGAAAUGUUUGCAAAGAGCACGCAGAUGGGGAAAUGUUUGCAAAGAGCACGCAGAUGGGGAAAUGUUUGCAAAGAGCACGCAGAUGGCAUUUUCUUUUCUCUCUC